rnacentral:rRNA from 1 species
CCUACGGGUGGCAGCAGUAGGGAAUAUUGCGCAAUGGGCGAAAGCCUGAAGCAGCGACGCCGCGUGGGGGAUGAAGGUUUUCGGAUUGUAAACUCCUUUUGUUAGAGAAGAUUGUGACGGUAUCUAACGAAUAAGCACCGGCUAACUCCGGGCCAGCAGCCGCGGUAAUACGGAGGGUGCAAGCGUUACUCGGAAUCACUGGGCGUAAAGAUUGCGUAGGCGGGGUAAUAAGUCAGAUGUGAAAUCCUGUAGCUUAACUACAGAACUGCAUUUGAAACUGGUACUCUGGAGUGUGGGAGAGGUAGGUGGAAUUCUUGGUGUAGGGGUAAAAUCCGUAGAGAUCAAGAGGAAUACUCAUUGCGAAGGCGACCAGCUGGAACAUUACUGACGCUGAUGCACGAAAGCGUGGGGAGCAAACAGGAUUAGAUACCCGGGUAGUC